CGCCUAAACCCGCAAGGGCAUGGCAUCAAAACCUUCGCAGAUAAAAGCUCCUAGUCAGAGCAUCUGCGAAGGUUGUAUCCCGAAAGGGGUAUGGGUAGUCGAAAGGCUAUC
rnacentral:sRNA from 1 species